rnacentral:rRNA from 1 species
AUGAACGCUAGCUACAGGCUUAACACAUGCAAGUCGAGGGGCAGCAUGGUCUUAGCUUGCUAAGGCCGAUGGCGACCGGCGCACGGGUGAGUAACACGUAUCCAACCUGCCGUCUACUCUUGGACAGCCUUCUGAAAGGAAGAUUAAUACAAGAUGGCAUCAUGAGUCCGCAUGUUCACAUGAUUAAAGGUAUUCCGGUAGACGAUGGGGAUGCGUUCCAUUAGAUAGUAGGCGGGGUAACGGCCCACCUAGUCUUCGAUGGAUAGGGGUUCUGAGAGGAAGGUCCCCCACAUUGGAACUGAGACACGGUCCAAACUCCUACGGGAGGCAGCAGUGAGGAAUAUUGGUCAAUGGGCGCAGGCCUGAACCAGCCAAGUAGCGUGAAGGAUGACUGCCCUAUGGGUUGUAAACUUCUUUUAUAAAGGAAUAAAGUCGGGUAUGGAUACCCGUUUGCAUGUACUUUAUGAAUAAGGAUCGGCUAACUCCGUGCCAGCAGCCGCGGUAAUACGGAGGAUCCGAGCGUUAUCCGGAUUUAUUGGGUUUAAAGGGAGCGUAGAUGGAUGUUUAAGUCAGUUGUGAAAGUUUGCGGCUCAACCGUAAAAUUGCAGUUGAUACUGGAUAUCUUGAGUGCAGUUGAGGCAGGCGGAAUUCGUGGUGUAGCGGUGAAAUGCUUAGAUAUCACGAAGAACUCCGAUUGCGAAGGCAGCCUGCUAAGCUGCAACUGACAUUGAGGCUCGAAAGUGUGGGUAUCAAACAGGAUUAGAUACCCUGGUAGUCCACACGGUAAACGAUGAAUACUCGCUGUUUGCGAUAUACGGCAAGCGGCCAAGCGAAAGCGUUAAGUAUUCCACCUGGGGAGUACGCCGGCAACGGUGAAACUCAAAGGAAUUGACGGGGGCCCGCACAAGCGGAGGAACAUGUGGUUUAAUUCGAUGAUACGCGAGGAACCUUACCCGGGCUUAAAUUGCAGAUGAAUUACGGUGAAAGCCGUAAGCCGCAAGGCAUCUGUGAAGGUGCUGCAUGGUUGUCGUCAGCUCGUGCCGUGAGGUGUCGGCUUAAGUGCCAUAACGAGCGCAACCCUUGUUGUCAGUUACUAACAGGUUCCGCUGAGGACUCUGACAAGACUGCCAUCGUAAGAUGUGAGGAAGGUGGGGAUGACGUCAAAUCAGCACGGCCCUUACGUCCGGGGCUACACACGUGUUACAAUGGGGGGGUACAGAGGGCCGCUACCACGCGAGUGGAUGCCAAUCCCAAAAACCUCUCUCAGUUCGGACUGGAGUCUGCAACCCGACUCCACGAAGCUGGAUUCGCUAGUAAUCGCGCAUCAGCCACGGCGCGGUGAAUACGUUCCCGGGCCUUGUACACACCGCCCGUCAAGCCAUGGGAGCCGGGGGUACCUGAAGUGCGUAACCGCGAGGAGCGCCCUAGGGUAAAACUGGUGACUGGGGCU